UGCUAGAACAUGUCAAAGAGAAGGGAAGC
rnacentral:piRNA from 2 species